ensembl:miRNA
AGAUGCUGGGAUAGCACUGGCCUUGGAGUCAGAAGGUUUGUGAUUUGGUGGCAGCUCUGCCAUCCAAUAUCCGUGUGAUUUUUAGGGCGUCAGUUUCCCUUUAAGCACCG